GUCAACGAGUGAUGCUUCAUAGCGGACAACUACUGGUUUUAAUAUGCAAACAACAACAGUGCCAGAGAUGCUAUGUAAUAAUUAAUGUGUACUUGUUGAAAGUUCUUGCUUAUAUUAGUGUCUCUUAUUUCUUUUCUAAUUAAUGUCUCUCAUUUUUGUUCUAGUUAAUGUGUAACUGAGAAUGAACAUACUUCUCUCUUUUUAGACUGCUAGAUUGCACAAGUUGAACGAUCUGCUCUAGUUUAAACAAGUUGGGAUACAUCAAUAUAAUAGGACUUUGUUUGCACUUCACCUAGCUUGUAACCAAUAUCCUUAUUGCCAAUUUACCUCAAGUUUAUCUAACAUGGUUGAAAUGAGCGAUGUAAAGUUUCAUGUCUAAGCUCAAUUUUUAUCCUAAGUCCUGAAGUAAUUAUUUUGGUUACAUCAUAGUUUGCUGAGAAUAUUAACUUGAACAUUGUAUGUAUGCCCUGAUGCAUGUACACACACGGCAUCAAAUAUUGAGCUGCAGCGAAACAACCUGGAGCUAGAGAACAUCAAGGAUAAGAUCAAGGAAGUUCUUGCCUUGUUGGCAACAUUGUGAGAUCAUGACCAAGCAUGACAAGAAGGGAGGCUCGUCAACCACCUACCAGCACACCUAUCAUGACCGAUGAUGAGACGUUGAAGGUUACGAGAGAUGAUGCUGGAGAGAUGCCCUUCCUGUAGGUCUGCACAUAAGCGGAAGUUCCUGGGUAUGCAAGAUUUGAUGGUUAAAAU